rnacentral:rRNA from 1 species
UCGCUGAAGGAUGAGUUCGCGUACCAUUAGCUUGUUGGUAGGGUAAUGGCCUACCAAGGCGACGAUGGUUAGCUGGUCUGAGAGGAUGAUCAGCCACACUGGAACUGAGAUACGGUCCAGACUCCUACGGGAGGCAGCAGUGAGGAAUCUUGCGCAAUGGGGGAAACCCUGACGCAGCAACGCCGCGUGAGUGAGGAAGGUCUUCGGAUCGUAAAGCUCUGUCAGUUGGAAAGAAAUGUCUGAGAGUCAAUCCCUUUCAGACUUGACGGUACCAACAGAGGAAGCACCGGCUAACUCCGUGCCAGCAGCCGCGGUAAUACGGGGGGUGCAAGCGUUGUUCGGAAUUAUUGGGCGUAAAGAGCGUGUAGGCGGCCGGAUAUGUCAGAUGUGAAAGCCCCGGGCUUAACCCGGGAAGUGCAUUUGAAACUGUCCGGCUCGAGUAGGGGAGAGGGAAGUGGAAUUCCUGGUGUAGAGGUGAAAUUCGUAGAUAUCAGGAGGAACACCGGUGGCGAAGGCGACUUCCUGGCCCUAUACUGACGCUGAGACGCGAGAGCGUGGGUAGCAAACAGGAUUAGAUACCCUGGUAGUCCACGCCGUAAACGAUGUUCACUAGGUGUUGGGGGUAUUGACCCCCUCAGUGCCGGAGCUAACGCA